rnacentral:rRNA from 1 species
GAUCAUGGCUCAGGAUGAACGCUAGCGACAGGCCUAACACAUGCAAGUCGAGGGGCAGCGCGGGAGAAGCUUGCUUUUCCUGGCGGCGACCGGCGCACGGGUGCGUAACAGGUGUGCAAUCUGUCCAUAGUCGGGGGAUAGCCCAGCGAAAGCUGAAUUAAUACUCCAUGUGAAUCGAAGCCGCAUGACUUUGAUUUGAAACGCAAGGACUAUGGGUGAGCACGCUUCUGAUUAGGUAGUUGGUGGGGUAACGGCCCACCAAGCCGACGAUCAGUAGGGGUUCUGAGAGGAAGGUCCCCCACAUUGGAACUGAGACACGGUCCAAACUCCUACGGGAGGCAGCAGUGAGGAAUAUUGGUCAAUGGGCGAGAGCCUGAACCAGCCAAGUCGCGUGAAGGAUGAAGGUUCUAUGGAUUGUAAACUUCUUUUGUCCGAGGGUAAAAAAGGCCACGUGUGGCUUCUUGCAAGUAUCGGACGAAUAAGCAUCGGCUAACUCCGUGCCAGCCGCUGC